GUUAGUUAAAAAUAGUUUUAUUUGUUUCAUUGUUUUAGACGACACGACGAUCCUCGCCUCCAGUUUCGACUAACAAGCAUCAAAACGCGGCGAUGAGAAAAACCACUACCACGAAGCGAGUUGUUUUGAGCGCGUCCUACUACGAUGCAGUUCCCUACAUGUUAUUUUCCCACGUAUAUAGCAGAGACACCAACUCGACCAAUAAUGGAACCGUGCACGAUUCAGCUGCCUACAAUAGUACACUUGCAUCCGACGAACCUUUGACAGUGAUGAACGUAACGACAG